UAUUUUAUUGGCAGAUUAGUGCAUUAGAAUUAGAAUCUAAUUAAGAUU
rnacentral:tRNA from 1 species